UUCUUAUGUUUAAAAGCAAAUUAACACAGAAACAGGAAACUAAAUGCUGCAUGUCCUUAUGUAUAAGUGGGAGCAAAACCUUGGUUACAUAUGGAUAUAAAGAUGAGAAUAAUAGAUACUGGGGACUGCUAGAGGGAGCAGAAGGGGGCAAGGGCUGAGAAACUGUUGGGUACUACCUGGGUGAUGGGAUCAUUUGUACUCCAAACCUCAACAUCACCCAACAUACUGAUGUAGCAAAUCUGCACAUGUACCCCCUGAGUCUAAAAUUCAAGUUGAAAUUAUUUA